rnacentral:rRNA from 1 species
UCCCAAAACCCCUGUGAACAUACCUUUAAUGUUGCCUCGGCGGAUCAGCCCGCGCCCCGUAAAACGGGACGGCCCGCCAGAGGACCCAAACUCUAAUGUUUCUUAUUGUAACUUCUGAGUAAAACAAACAAAUAAAUCAAAAACUUUCAACAACGGAUCUCUUGGUUCUGGCAUCGAUGAAGAACGCAGCAAAAUGCGAUAAGUAAUGUGAAUUGCAGAAUUCAGUGAAUCAUCGAAUCUUUGAACGCACAUUGCGCCCGCUGGUAUUCCGGCGGGCAUGCCUGUUCGAGCGUCAUUUCAACCCUCAAGCCCCCGGGUUUGGUGUUGGGGAUCGGCUCUGCCUACGGCGGUGCCGCCCCCGAAAUACAUUGGCGGUCUCGCUGCAGCCUCCAUUGCGUAGUAGCUAACACCUCGCAACUGGAACGCGGCGCGGCCAUGCCAGUAAAACCCCAACUUCUGAAUGUUGACCUCGGAUCAGGA